UAAAGCGAGCGCAGGCGGAAAAAUAAGUCUAAUGUGAAAGCCCUCGGCUUAACCGAGGAAUUGCAUCGGAAACUGUUUUUCUUGAGUGCAGAAGAGGAGAGUGGAACUCCAUGUGUAGCGGUGGAAUGCGUAGAUAUAUGGAAGAACACCAGUGGCGAAGGCGGCUCUCUGGUCUGCAACUGACGCUGAGGCUCGAAAGCAUGGGUAGCGAACAGGAUUAGAUACCCUGGUAGUCCAUGCCGUAAACGAUGAGUGCUAAGUGUUGGGAGGUUUCCGCCUCUCAGUGCUGCAGCUAACGCAUUAAGUAUUCCGCCUGGGGAGUACGGUCGCAAGAUUAAAACUCAAAGGAAUUGACGGGGGCCCGCACAAGCAGCGGAGCAUGUGGUUUAAUUCGAAGCAACGCGAAGAACCUUACCUAAGCUUGACAUCCUUUUGACCGAUGCCUAAUCGCAUCUUUCCCUUCGGGGACAGAAGUGACAGGUGGUGCAUGGUUGUCGUCAGCUCGUGUCGUGAGAUGUUGGGUUAAGUCCCGCAACGAGCGCAACCCUUGCCUUUAGUUGCCAGCAUUAAGUUGGGCACUCUAGAGGAACUGCCAGGGAUAACCUGGAGGAAGGUGGGGAUGACGUCAAAUCAUCAUGCCCCUUAUGCUUAGGGCUACACACGUGCUACAAUGGGUGGUACAGAGGGCAGCCAAGUCGUGAGGCCGAGCUAAUCCCUUAAAGCCAUUCUCAGUUCGGAUUGUAGGCUGAAACUCGCCUACAUGAAGCUGGAGU
rnacentral:rRNA from 1 species